rnacentral:rRNA from 5 species
GUGAGUAAUGCCUAGGAAUCUGCCUGGUAGUGGGGGAUAACGCUCGGAAACGGACGCUAAUACCGCAUACGUCCUACGGGAGAAAGCAGGGGACCUUCGGGCCUUGCGCUAUCAGAUGAGCCUAGGUCGGAUUAGCUAGUUGGUGAGGUAAUGGCUCACCAAGGCGACGAUCCGUAACUGGUCUGAGAGGAUGAUCAGUCACACUGGAACUGAGACACGGUCCAGACUCCUACGGGAGGCAGCAGUGGGGAAUAUUGGACAAUGGGCGAAAGCCUGAUCCAGCCAUGCCGCGUGUGUGAAGAAGGUCUUCGGAUUGUAAAGCACUUUAAGUUGGGAGGAAGGGCAGUUACCUAAUACGUGAUUGUUUUGACGUUACCGACAGAAUAAGCACCGGCUAACUCUGUGCCAGCAGCCGCGGUAAUAC